GUAGGUGGCAAGCGUUGUCCGGAAUUAUUGGGCGUAAAGCGCGCGCAGGCGGUUCUUUAAGUCUGAUGUGAAAGCCCACGGCUCAACCGUGGAGGGUCAUUGGAAACUGGAGAACUUGAGUACAGAAGAGGUAAGCGAAUUCCACGUGUAGCGGUGAGAUGCGUAGAGAUGUGGAGGAACACCAGUGGCGAAGGCGGCUUUCUGGUCUGUAACUGACGCUGAGGCGCGAAAGCGUGGGGGAGCAAACAGGAUUAGAUACCCUGGUAGUCCACGCCGUAAACGAUGAGUGCUAAGUGUUAGGGGGUUUCCGCCCCUUAGUGCUGCAGCUAACGCAUUAAGCACUCCGCCCUGGGAGUACGGCCGCAAAGGCUG
rnacentral:rRNA from 1 species